AGUGGGGAAUAUUGCACAAUGGGCGAAAGCCUGAUGCAGCCAUGCCGCGUGUGUGAAGAAGGCUUUCGGGUUGUAAAGCACUUUCAGCGAGGAGGAAAGGUAGUAGAUUAAUACUCUGCUACUGUGACGUUACUCGCAGAAGAAGCACCGGCUAACUCCGUGCCAGCAGCCGCGGUAAUACGGAGGGUGCAAGCGUUAAUCGGAAUUACUGGGCGUAAAGCGCGCGUAGGCGGCUUGUUAAGCUAGAUGUGAAAGCCCUGGGCUCAACCUAGGAACUGCAUUUAGAACUGGCUCGCUAGAAUAUGGUAGAGGUUAGUGGAAUUUCCUGUGUAGCGGUGAAAUGCGUAGAGAUGGGAAGGAACACCAGUGGCGAAGGCGACUGACUGGACCAAUAUUGACGCUGAGGUGCGAAAGCGUGGGUAGCAAA
rnacentral:rRNA from 1 species